AAAAAUACCGUUGUUUUUCUUAAGGAGUUUACAGAUUGUCUUAGAAGAACAGCUAUUGAUAAUUAACAAAUAUUUGUUGAAUAAAGGAAUGAAGCGUUGUGACUAUUAUACUGUCUGAGAAAGACAUUUACCUAGCCUCCUAAAUCUCCUAGUCCAGUUGGUGAGGAAACCUAGAAUGUGCGAAUUCACAAAGAUCUGAGAUAGCCUGAUGUGUUAAGGGAUUUAUAGGUAGUUCCAUACUUCGAGGGUGAAAGAGGUGACAAAGAAUGUACCUGGACACAUUGAGAAAACAGAGAGUGAUUUUUUUCAUAUAACCAGAAUUAAUAAAUUUCUGCAGGGCCCUGAAGUGUGAUAUGUGGGAGGCAUGAGAAAUAGAAGAAAUUGCUGUGGAACCCUACUCUCAAGGUGAUAGUCUGCUUCUGGAGAGAAAAACAACUAAGGCAUAUAAAUAAUAAUAUGCAUGUGUGGCCCAAACUGAAAGUUUGAGUCCUGAAGAUGUAUGAGUAAGGGUGUGAUCAGUAGAAAAGUUGAAGAAAGUGAUUCAGAACUCUUUCAAGAACUAAAGAGAAGGUGAAACUCCAUGCAGAGAAGAAUGAGAUGGUAAUUUGGAGAGGCAAUGAUAGGCUGAUACCAAGCCUUAGAUGUUUUCAAGGGUGGAGCCUCAGAGUAUACACGUUGGACAUUGCAUUCCACAAUCCUGCCAAUAAGUCAAAAGUGGCCGUCAGCCUAACACUUGGGCCCUGUAGAAGAAACUUCUGUCCAAAGCUACCCUAUAGUUGGCUGCCUGGCUUCAGAGCUUUUUUUGAACUUGGAAGACUUCAAGCCCCAACUGAGGAAUCCUUGAUGCUCUGUUGUUUUGUCUUGCUAAAAUGUACAAGAAACUUGCACAGCUCUGUCCUUCAGGCUUAAAAUCAUCCCAGGGAGGUCACUCUAAUUCCUUUUAAUGUGUGCUGAAGAAAGGGCAGCACAGCUGAAGCCUGAUUUAAAAUCUGAUCUUCUCCCUAAUGUCACAAGGACAUCCUGAGACAAUGGCUGAGGAGCUAUGCACCAGUACCCAGCUGGAUCCCUGAUACUUACAUUGGCAGAUGCAUUAUCAACAGAGACAUCGAUUUAGAGUGAAUUAAAGGAAUUACAAAGAUCAAGAUGAAUUCAGUGAAGCUUCCCAUAGGACUGUUCAAAGAUCUCCAGGCCUGCCAUUCAUGCAUUCAUGUGAGAGAGACACUUUGGGCCUAAGAAAUGAAGGCCAAUUCAUGUGGAGUCAGUCCUCUUAUAACCACAGUAGGAUAGAACUUGUUUCUGAGACCUUCAGAAGGACUAAGCCCUAGGCAAACAGCCCCAGUGAAGUCAGCUCUAAGGACAUAUUGAGGUAAGAACUAGGGAAAAUUCAUGUUUUAUUUCCCUAUUGCUUUUAAAAUCCAAUUUAAAAUGUAUUACCUAUCAAGAGAGAAUUCUCUAUAAUUUCGUGAAAAUGAUUUAUAUGGCUCCGGAUAUGUAUUUUUUUGUCCCCCUUUUCCCCUCCCAUUUACUCCUUCAGCCACAGGUAAAUACUUUUUGCCAUGACCUCUCUCUCUGUGAAAUCAAACUAAUAUGCUAACUUUUGUUUGCUUUUCUUGUGCAACACUGCUGAUGAGAAACAUUUUGUCCUCCUUCGUCUAUUUCUGUUAUAUUAUUUUAAGACCUGUCAUUAUAAUAAAAAAUAUCUUAAUGCUGAUAAUGACAUUGAUGAUGGUUAUGAUGACUUCAAGCUCUGCCCUAGACAAUUAACUCCAUAAAGGCAGGAACUGUAUCUAUCUUCUUUAGCAUUUCAUAAGGCAAACCCAACAGUGUCCCUGACUUGCAGCAAGUACUCAAGAAAAAUAUUUGUUAAAUGAAUGAAAAUGCUAGCAGAGACCAUUGGCUGAAAGUUUGCUAAUAUAAUCUUUAUAUUUUAUAAUCUUUGUAUUUUAUAUUUUUACAACCAUCUUUGGAAACAGGUAUUUAUUAUGCCGAUUUUGCAAAUGAGAACACUAUCUUCAAUGGAAGGAUAACCACAUCUACAUUUGAAGUGUAGUUAGAGGGAUGCUCCUCAAGCUUUAAUAUAUAUUUGAAUCACCUGAGGAAUCUUAAUAAAAUGCAAAUUCCUAUUCAGUAGUUCUGAGUUGAGGCCCAAGUUUCUGCAUUUCUUACAAGCUCCCAGGUGAUGCCCACACGGCUGUUCUGAGUGAGCCAGCACUCUGAGUAGCAACAUUCCCUUAGAAUUACCUGCAGAUGAGUAUGUAAAAUUCAAAUUAUUGGUCUACACAGAUAUACUAAAUCAUAAUCAUAGUUCGGGAAAUGAGAAUCAGCUACCUACAGUACAAGCAAUCUGGUAAUUAUUAUGAAAAUUAAAUGAGUAAAGUGUGUGUUAAGUGCUUUAUAAACCAAAAGUAGUAUGUAAAUAUUAGAAUAACAUUUUUAUUUUAUAAUUGUUACUAUUAUUAUUGUUUGAUGGUGACACAAAUUUGAUUUCUGUACCACUCCAAGCAUGUAUAUUGGUUGUGAAGGCUGUUUUUACCAAUAUGUAUCUACAAUAAAAUGUUCUAAAUUAAAUCGUUGGAAUAUAAUUUUGGCAAUUUUAAAAAAAUACUGUAAAUAAAAAUGUGCAUGUGCUGCAUUUUACAAUGGAAAUAAAAUAUGUUUUUUCAGUA